rnacentral:rRNA from 1 species
UACGUAGGGCGCGAGCGUUGUCCGGAAUUAUUGGGCGUAAAGAGCUCGUAGGCGGCCGGUUGCGUCUGCUGUGAAAUCCCGGGGCUUAACCCCGGGCGUGCAGUGGAUACGGGCCGGCUGGAGGCAGGCAGGGGAGAAUGGAAUUCCCGGUGUAGCGGUGAAAUGCGUAGAUAUCGAGAGGAACACCUGCGGCGAAGGCGGGUAGCUGGGCCGACACUGACGCUGAGGCGCGAAAGCCAGGGGAGCGAACGGG